CAGCUUGGGUCCAGAAUCCACUCCAGCCCUAGCAACGUGACAGAGUGGGAAGAUCAUAUGGUACAAACACGGUUUCUAAGGCUCUCUACUAUGGGUGAAAGCUUCAGAGAAGGAGGCUUUAAGACUGCAAAGAUAAUCCAAAAAUUGUCUGGUAUAAGCAGGUCUGAGAUCUCCAAUACAAAUUAAGAAUUUUGGUAGUGCCAAUACAUUGUGUGGUUGGGUGUGUGUAUGUGUGUGUAUGUGUGCUAACAGAGAUAGGGAGAUAGAUGAGACUGGAGAGUUUGCAAGAAGGAUAUUGUGAAAGAGUUUUAAUCUUUUUGUUUUUUAGUUGAUGAAGGACUUUUAAACAUUUUGAUAGUAAAAUGAUCAGAAUUGUAUUUUGGGUAGUUAGCUAUGAUGGUGGUGUGGAUGAUGAAUUGGAAAGGGAUAAAUUGGAAGAAAAGAAGACAGGUCACAGGUAACUGAAAUAGUCUAGAUAAGAGACAAUUAGAGCCUUAACUAGACAAUGGGGUUGGGCAAAAUGAGAUGAAGUGGAAAAACAUUUCAGGAGAAAGAAAUAGAACAUUGUGGCCUAUUCAACGUGGCUGAGGAUUUAGGAGGAAACUAAAAUGGUUCCCACCUUUCUGAUGUAAGCAAAAGAGUAUCAGGGAGAGUGAUUCACCAAGACAAGCAACAGAAGAGGAGACUGGGCUGCAUAAGUAUGUGGCAGUUGUGCUGAGUUAAGGUACUGAGGACCACCGAAGGCAAAUGGUGAAUAGGAAGAUAGCCGUUCCCCUUGGGAGUGAGGUCUGGGCUGGAGGUGAGAUUUGGGAAUCAUAAAUCAUGGAUGGUAACUGAAGCCAACGGGUGAUAUUUUCCAGGAAAAUUGUGCAGAGUCAGUAAAGAAGUGGAGGGAGGAUGGAGCCCUGAGGGGGGCCGCAUUAGAGGUGAGUGGAAGACAACAACCUCAGAGAGGAGGUUGAGAGGAAUGGCCAUGGAGGUGAGAAAACCAGAAAAAAAGGGUGUCCUGGAAGUCAAAAAAGAAGAAUUUCAAAAGAUAGGGAAGUCGGUUGUCACCAACCUGUGCUGCAGGCCAGGUAGAUAUGAUUUCCAUUUUAUGGGGAGAAAACUGAAAUUUGGAGACAUAAAUGACUCACCCAAAUUCAUUGGGCUGAUUAGUGUCAAAGGCAAGACUAGAACUGAGAUUUUCGACUUUGAAUUCUGUGCUCUUUUGACCACAGAACACCACAAUAAUGCCCUGGCAGAGGAACUCUGGAGCAGCCACCAAGCUCUUCUAGGAGGAAAGACAGGAGCUGAGGAACAGACUCAAAAGCAGGAAAGGCCAGAAAUCAUCAACAGGUUAAGACAUUUUCCUUUGAAAAAAGGGAGUGGACAAGGCAGAAGUCUUUCCGCUGUUGCUCACAAAAGUGCUGUGACCGUGUUUUCAUCAUGUUGCCUGCCCCUUGGGUGGAGAGAUCCAAAGGGUGAGGCUCUUAGCAAUCUUCCCCUUACUGAUUACUCAGUGCUUACAGCAUGGAGUUGAGGCCACGAGAUAGCUCUCCCACCUACUAGCUGUGUGACCUCGAACAGGUCACAUGCCUCCACGAUAUGGUCUUCUCAUCUGU
rnacentral:lncRNA from 1 species